rnacentral:lncRNA from 1 species
AAGGCGGGAAAAGGAAUAGAGAGUUCAUGAGGCUAAGGGACCACACAGUCCCCCUCGGGUGGAGACACUUUUCUUGAGGUUUUGAGUCCCUAUGGGAAUAUGAAGUUCUUUGCAACGAUGAUCCCAAGAACCUUCAAAAAGGAAAUUCAGCACAAAUAUUUGCCAUUGUGAGUUUACUACUGUGUGACUUUGAAUCUCCAAUUGCAAUACCUGUGUGCUUCUGGUGGUGGCCCAAUCUGCAAACUCACUCUUUUACUUUCUGCCUGAAGCUUUCCAUUUGGUUUUAGAGCUGCUCCC